UACCAGCUCUCCGAGUGGUGUGGAUGUUUAUUGGGCCUAAAGCAUCCGUAGCUGGCUGGAAAAGUCCCCUGUUAAAUCCACCGAUUUAAUCGUUGGUGUGCGGGGGAUACUGUUCGGCUAGGGGACGGGAGAGGCCGACGGUAUUUUCGGGGUAGGGUGAAAUCCUAUAAUCCCGGGAAGACCACCAGUGGCGAAGGCUGUCGGCUAGAACGCGCCCGACGGUGAGGGAUGAAAGCUGGGGGAGCGGACCGGAUUAGAUACCCGGGUAGUCCCAGCUGUAAACGAUGCAGGCUAGGUGUUUGGGCGGCCACGUGCCGCUCUAGUGCCGCAGAGAAGUCGUUAAGCCUGCCGCCUGGGGAGUACGGCCGCAAGGCUGAAACUUAAAGGAAUUGGCGGGGGAGCACCACAAGGGGUGAAGCUUGCGGUUU
rnacentral:rRNA from 1 species